CCCCAGAGGGCUCCUUUCUCCUACUAUCUCCUGAGAGGCAGGAAGUCCUUCUGUGGCCACGUCCACCAUCUCAGUAGCAAAGCUCAGCUCCUCAGCUUACCUGGAGAUGAGGUACAGAAAAGCUAAAGAACUUUCCUAAGAUCACACAGCUACUCAACUGGCAUCGUUUGGACUGGAGCCCAGUCUCAGCUAGACUCCAGCACCUCUGCUCCUAACGUGGCUCGCAACUCAGGCUGCACUUGGAGAGCUGUUAAACGAGUGCUCACUCUGGGGAAAACUAGCUGCUACACCACAAGAACACUCAAACAGCCCCAUGGAGUGGACCUAAUGGCAAGAAACUGUGGAUUCCUGCCAAUGGGCAACAAAAAACUAGGCCUUCUGAAGCAAAUAACCCUUCAGUGAGUGAAACUGGGAGUGAAUCUUCCAACCCCAGUGAACCCUCAAAAUGACUGCAGCCCCAGUUGACAACUUGAAUGCCAACUCAUGAGAGACCCUGUGCUGGAACCAUCAUGCUAAAUUGCUUCCAGAUUCCUGACUCUCAGAAGCUGUGAGAUAAUAAAUGCUCGUUGCUUUGUGCUGAUAAAUUGUGGGGUGGUUUGUUAUGUAGCAAGAGAUAACUAAUACAGGCAUCUCCCUCCGCACUCCACGCCAGACCCUCCCAACCUUGACUUGGAGCAGGGGAAGUUGCCAGGGCUGCAACAGAAGUGUCUGACAUCCCAAGCCCACUAGGCUCCUCUGUCUAUGGGAUUCUCCAGGCAAGAAUACUGGAAUGGGUCGCCAUUUCCUUCUCCAGGGCAUCUUCCUGACCCAAGGAUCAAACCCGAGUCUCCUGCAUUGCAGGUGGAUUCUUUACUGCUGAGCCACCAGGAAAACCCACAUAAAUACAUACAUGUAUAUUUCAGGCUGCUCUUA
ensembl:lncRNA